UACGUAGGUGGCGAGCGUUGUCCGGAAUUAUUGGGCGUAAAGGGAGCGCAGGUGGGAAUGUAAGUCAAUCUUAAAAGUGCGGGGCUCAACCCCGUGAUGGGAUAGAAACUACAUUUCUUGAGUGCAGGAGAGGAAAGUGGAAUUCCUAGUGUAGCGGUGAAAUGCGUAGAUAUUAGGGGGAACACCAGUGGCGAAGGCGACUUUCUGGACUGUUACUGACACUGAGGCUCGAAAGCUAGGGGAGCGAACGGG
rnacentral:rRNA from 1 species